GUGUUGAGUGACAUCCCUGGCCUCCAGGUUUUGAUGCCAAGUGCACCCCCCGCCCCGGGGUCACAAGAACCACGAAUGUUCCCAGACGUUGCCCAGUGUAGAGAACCGCUGGGUUAAAUCUGUUUGACCAGAAUGAAUCCCUGGAGUUGCUCGUAAAAUCAGCACGUUUCGCCGGAAAGAGUCAAGAGGGCCCCUUCCCCUACUGUACAGAUGGGAAAACCGAGGCCAAGAAUCGCCCAGUCCUAGACCACUGUGAGAACCUGACCCACCCAGGUCCCUGCGGACAGCCCCUCUGGAGCCACGUGGCAGCAGCACACUGGGCUCGGGGAGCGCUGCUGCGGGUGUCGUGUCCGCCUCUGGCUCAGUCUCCCUAGUCUGAUUUCCCCAACGGCCCCCAGGGUCCUCUUUUCCGGGCCGCCCAAAGAGGUCUCGAAACCUCAACUCGGCGCUCCCCGCGCUCCAGCGGGUCUCCGGAGCGGCGCUCGGGGGGAUGGGCGGCGCUCCGCGGCCCGCUGCGCAGCCUUGUGGGGAUUGUAGUCCCGGCCCCGCCCCGGUUCCGUGCCGACCCCGCCCCAGGAACUACGCUCCCGUCGUGCCCCGCGGCGCGGGCGGAGGCGGGGCAGGCGGUCGGUUGCUAAGCCUUGUGAGGCGCAGAGCUCGCGUGUGGUUCUUCAGUCGGAGCCGUGCGGAGGAUGGACCCCGCCCCAGGCCUCGUGGAGCCGCGUGCGGACGAGAAGACCAGGAGCCCUGAGCAAGAGCCCGUGCCGUGGCAAGCCCUCCCGGUCCUGUCCGAGCAGCAGUCCAAGGACGUGGAACUGGUGCUGGCCUACGCUGCACCCAUCCUCGACAAGCGCCAGACCUCGCGCCUCCUCAAGGAGGUGUCAGCCGUCUACCCGCUGCCCGCCCAGCCUCACCUUAAGAGGGUGCGGCCCAGCCGCGAUGCCAGCUGUCCGCACGCGCUCGAGAUGCUGCUGUGCCUGGCGGGGCCGGCCGCGGGUACCGGAUCGCUCGCUGAGCUCCUCCCGCAGCCAGCCGUGGACCCUCGUGGCCUGGGGCAGCCCUUCCUGGUGCCUGUGCCAGCCCGGCCGCCUCUAACCAGAGGCCAGUUCGAGGAGGCACGCGCCCACUGGCCCACGUCCUUCCAUGAGGAUAGGCAGGUGACUCGUGCCUUGGCUGGGCGGCUGUUCUCCAUGCAGGAGCGGGUGGCGAUGCAGGGCCACAUGGAGCGGGCUGUGUGGGCGGCACAGCAGGCGGCUGCCAGGGGCCUCCGGGCAGUGGGGGCUGUGGUGGUGGACCCGUCCUCCGGCCGCGUGCUGGCCACAGGCCACGACUGCAGCAGCACUGCCAGCCCCCUGCUGCACGCCACCAUGGUGUGCAUUGAUCUGGUGGCCCAGGGCCAGGGCCGUGGCGCCUAUGACCUCGGCCCCUACCCUGCCUGCUCCUUCGCCCCAGCCGUCGCCCCCCAGGGCAUCCGUGUGGGCUCUGUGCGCAAGCUAGAAGAGGACGGGGACGUGCAUGUGGACGGCCUCCCCUACGUGUGCACUGGCUACGACCUCUACGUCACCCACGAGCCCUGUGCCAUGUGCGCCAUGGCCCUGGUGCACUCCCGCGUGCAGCGCGUCUUCUAUGGGGCGCCCUCGCCCGACGGUGCCCUGGGUACCCGCUUCCGCAUCCACGCCCGGCCUGACCUCAACCACCGCUUCCAGGUGUUCCGUGGGGUCCUGGAGGCCCAGUGCCGCCGGCUGGACCCUGGCUCGUAGGCAGCCGUGCCCACUGCCUGCUGGAACUUCUCUGUUGCUGACGGCUCGGCCUCCCCUCAGACUCCACUGGCAGGCCUCCGUCUCGCUGUCGUCCGGGAGGCUGUAACCCCGUGGGUGGCUGUAGGCUUCUGCCCUGCCCAGUUGUCACAGCGGAAAUGUCUG